GUCACGCUCGGGCAGACUCCGGGAGAUACCGAGGGCCGGCAGAGGGGGCGCUGCGGAGGCCAAGCUCGCGCCGGCGUUUCCUACGCUCUUUUCUUACCCGCCGCCGGUUACUUCUCGGACUGGUUUUCCCUCAGCUUCCUCGCCCCUCCGUAACGUUGGGGAAGCGUCGGGAUGGGUUGAAUUGGAAGCAGCAGCAGCAACAGGAAGCGCCCUAUCGCGUUCCUCAGGGCGCAAUGGCGAACUUUUAUUCUCCUCGCUCCCUCGUUAAAAACGAGGAAGAAGCGACCUCCUCUCAUAUUACUUACUUCACCUGUCUCCCCCCUCGGCCCAGUUUCUCCUGUCCAAAGAGGAGCGAACUUGAGUCGCAGCAGCAGGCGAACGAGGGACUGGACGAGAGGAACAGAAAUCAAAACCUUUCUUCUUCCCACGAGUCGCCAUUACCUUGCGGGACCCGCCGCCCACUGGCUCCUGUGGCUUUAAAGCGGGAUGUGAGGGGGCGAUUCUGUUAACGACAACCAAGUUUCUUGGGAUUCAACUCUCCCCACCACAAUCCUACAAAACAAUUUAUACCAAGGGACAAUGAGCGGCCAAGAGCGCAAACAAGAUUGGAACAAUUGAAAAGAGAGAGAGACUGAAAUUGACAUUGCUGUGUGGAGUGUUCUGUUUAGUAUUCCAGUCAGUUAUGCCAUCCUCCAGGAUAGUUCAUUCCAUUCCCACCCAGUUUCCAUCACCUGCCCUGCCCACAUCAGUGGUCAGCAUUCCAUGGCUACAGAGCACAUUCAGUCUCCAUUCAGCUAUUCUGGGUUUUCUUUAAUGAUCAGGGUGGGGGGAGCUGAUUGUAAUGCCAUCAGCUCCUGUUUCAGGUUCCAGGACAGAACACCAGUAAAUAUUAACUUAACUUUAAAUACUAAACCUGGCAAGACACAAACCUGACUACCUAAACCUAGCACAAAGAAUUGAAUCUGCCAUUAUUCAAAAGAUAUACAGUUGUUUUAAUAAGUAGAACAAAUUGGGAUAAAUUAUUAAAAUGGCAACAAUACAAAAUAUUUUUAUUUUAAUCCUUUGGAUGUUAGUUUUAUUUAUGUGCCCCAAAUUAUCACAAAAACAGUUCCUGCCUCACACACUUUCCCAAUUAAAUUUGUGCCAUUUUUAGAUUUUAACAUAAACAUUUUCAUUAGUCAUAUUUCAAAACACUGCAUGACUGAUGCUUCUGUGUAUCAAACCAUUCCAGGAUUCAGAAAUCUGAGCAUGGUAGAGGUACCCUAAAUGACCCCAUAGAUCUUAGCAACAUGGCUUGGAAUGACACAGUUUUCCAAGUGUAAGAAGAACAAAACACAUUUAUUAUACUUGUGAUCAAAUGCUUAGCAAUGUUGUUUUUCUGUACUUCUGCUUUAUUCCUACCUAGCACAGAAUGCAGAACAUUCACCUUUUCCAUCUUAUCCUUAAAUUAUUCACCAUAUAAUUCAUUUUCUUAAAGAAACAAAUGUUUCAAUCUGUUGUGCUUUUUCACAUAAAAAAAUCAUUUCCUGUUUCAGAUUAUUCUUGUUACAGUCAAAAGGAUUAGCUACUUACU